rnacentral:rRNA from 1 species
UACAGAGGUCUCAACCGUUGUUCGGAUUCAUUGGGCGUAAAGGGUGCGUAGGCGGUCGGGUAAGUCGGAUGUGAAAUCUCAGGGCUCAACCCUGAAACUGCAUUCGAUACUGCCUGGCUAGGGUACUGGAGAGGAGACUGGAAUUUACGGUGUAGCAGUGAAAUGCGUAGAUAUCGUAAGGAAGACCAGUGGCGAAGGCGAGUCUCUGGACAGUUACCGACGCUGAGGCACGAAGGUCAGGGGAGCAAACGGG